AUGGACAAAACAGGGAGAGCCUGUGGCUGUUGCCUGCCUGCCUCCGCUCCUGCCUCCACCACAUCCAUUAGGGUGACCCAGAAGUCCUACAAGGUGUCCACCUCUGGCUCCCAGGCCUUCAGCAGCCGAUCUUGCACGAGUGGGCCCUGUGCCCACAUCAGCUCCUCGAGCUUCUCCCGAGUGGGCAGCAGCAGCUUCUGGGGCAGCCUGGGUGCAGGCUAUGCUGGGGCCAGCAGCAUGGACAUGGGCAUGGGUAUGGGAGGCAUCACCACCGGCAGGGUCAACCAGAGCCUGCUGAGUCCCCUUAACCUGGAAGUGAGCCCCAACAUCCAGGCCCUGCGUACCCAGGAGAAGGAGCAGAUCUAGACCCUCAACAAGAAGUUUGCCUCCUUCAUCAACAAGGUGGGUUCUUGGAGCAGCAGAACAAGAUGCUGGAGACCAAGUGGAGCCUCCUACAGCCGCAGAAGACUGCUCGGAGCAACAUGGACAACAUGUUUGAGAGCUACAUCAAUAACUUGAGGCGGCAGCCGGAGACUCUGGGCCAGGAGAAGCUGAAGCUGGAGGCGGAGCUUGGCAACAUGCAGGGGCUGGUGGAGGACUUCCAGAACAAGUAUGAGGAAGAGAUCAAUAAGCGUACAGAGAUGGAGAAUGAAUUUGUCCUCAUCAAGAAGGAUGUGGAUGAAGCUUACCUGAACAAAGUAGAGCUGAAGUCUUCCCCGCAACGGGCCAAGCAGGACAUGGCGCGGCAGCUGCGUGAGUACCAGGAGCUGAUGAAUGUCAAGCUGGCCCUGGACAUCGAGAUCGCCACCUACCGCAAGCUGCUGGAAGGCGAGGAGAGCCGGCUGGAGUCUGGGAUGCAGAACAUGAGUAUCCACACGUAGACCACCAGCGGCUAUGCAGGUAGUCUGAGCUCUGCCUAUAGGGGCCUCACAAGCCCCGGCCUCAGCUAUGGCCUGGCUCCAGCUUUGGCUCUUGUAUGAGCUCCAGCUCCUUCAGCUGCACCAGCACCACCAAGGCUGUGGUUGUGAAGAAGAUUGAGACCCCCGAUGGGAGGCUGGUAUCUGAGUCCUCUGACGUCCUGCCCAAGUGAACAGCUGCGGCAGCCCCUCCCAGCCUGCCCCACCUGAGGCUGCCCCAGAGCCCGGGAGGGAGGUCGCUGUGCAGGGGAGCACAGGGAACAGGAGACCCACCUGAGGCUCAGCCCUAGCCCUCAGCCUACCCGCGGGGAGUUUACUGCCUGGGGAACCCCUUGCCCCUGCCUCCAGCUGCAUAACAAUUCAAUUGCCUUUUUUUUUUUUUGGCCCGAAAUAAAACCUCAGCUAGCUCUG